UAACUACUCCCUCUGUUCUAAAUUACUCGUCUCAGAAAUGAAUGUAUCUAGAACUAAAAUACAUCUAUAUACAUCCAUACCUACGACAAGUAAUUCGGAACGGAGGGAGUACUUG
rfam:Triticum urartu cultivar G1812 contig179663, whole genome shotgun sequence.